rnacentral:sRNA from 1 species
UUCCUUUAUUAUGAUGAGAAUUUUCUCUAUCAUGAUGAGGUUUUUCUUUAUUAUGAUGAGCUUUUUCUCUAUUAUGAUCAUCAUAAUAAAGAAAAAGCUCAUCAUAAUAGAGAAAAACCUCAUCAUGAUAGAGAAAAACCUCAUCAUAAUAAGGAAA